rnacentral:rRNA from 1 species
GAGUUUGAUCCUGGCUCAGGAUGAACGCUGGCGGCGUGGAUAAGGCAUGCAAGUCGAACGAUCCUUGUGCUUUGCAUAAGGGAAGUGGCGAACGGGUUAGUAACACGUAGAUACAAACCCUAGAAAUGGGAAUAAUCCCGCGAAAGCAGGACUAAUACCCAAUGGUCCCUGCUCAAAUUUCUCUUCGGAGAAGAAUGUUGGCAGGGUAAAGGUUUCGCAAGAAGCCGUUCUAGGAUUGGUCUGCGGCCUAUCAGCUUGUUGGUAAGGUAAUGGCUUACCAAGGCAGUGACGGGUAGGGGACGUGAGAGCGUGACCCCCAACACUAGCACUGAGACACGGGCUAGACUCCUACGGGAGGCAACAGUCGAGAAUAUUGGUCAAUGGGCGAAAGCCUGAACCAGCGACGCCGCGUGCUUGAAGAAACUCUUCGGAGUGUAAAGAGCUUUUUUCCGGGAACAAGUUUUUAUUGAGGGUACCGGAAGAAUAAGGGGGUGCUAAUUCUGUGCCAGCAGCAGCGGUAAUACAGAACCCCCAAGCGUUAUCCGGAUUUAUUGGGCGUAAAGCGUUCGUAGGCGACUAGAAAAGUCUUUGGUCAAAGCCCCAGAGCUUAACUUUGGGAAUGCCAGAGAUACUUUUUAGAUAGAGGGCGUUAGAAGCUGACGGAACUCACGGUGUAGGGGUGGAAUCCGUUGAUAUCGUGAGGAACACCAAAAGCGAAGGCAGUCAGCUAGGGCGAUCCUGACGCUGAGGAACGAAAGCGUGGGUAGCAAAAAGGAUUAGAUACCCUUGUAGUCCACGCUGUAAACGAUGGAUACUAGCGAUUUGUAGUGUCGACCCUAUAAGUCGCGAAGCUAACGCGUUAAGUAUCCCGCCUGGGAAGUACGGUCGCAAGGCUGAAACUCAAAGGAAUAGACGGGGAGUCACACAAGCGGUGGACCACGUGGCUUAAUUCGAUAAUAAGCGAGGAACCUUACCAGGACUUGACACUCACUUGAAAUCCCGAUGAAAGUUGGGACUACCACAAGGACAAGUGAGCAGGUGCUGCAUGGUUGUCGUCAGCAGGUGCCGUGAGGCGCUCCCUUAAAUGGGGAAACCUGCGCAACCCCUAUCCUAUGUUUUAUAUGUCAUGGGAGACUGCCCGGGAUAACUGGGAGGAAGGUGGGGAUAACGCCAAAUCAGCAUGGCCCUUUGAUGUCCUGGGCUGCACACGUGGUACAAUGGUUGGGACAAUGGGUUGCCAAGCGGCAACGUGGAGCUAAUCCCAUCAAACCCAAUCUCAGUCCGGAUCGAGGUCUGCAACUUGACCUCGUGAAGUUGGAAUCGCUAGUAACCGCAAAUCAGCCAUGUUGCGGUGAAUAUGGUCUUGACUCUUGCACACAC